AAAUACAGAAGAAGCACCGGCUAACUCCGUGCCAGCAGCCGCGGUAAUACGGAGGGUGCGAGCGUUAAUCGGAAUAACUGGGCGUAAAGGGCACGCAGGCGGUUAUUUAAGUGAGGUGUGAAAGCCCCGGGCUUAACCUGGGAAUUGCAUUUCAGACUGGGUAACUAGAGUACUUUAGGGAGGGGUAGAAUUCCACGUGUAGCGGUGAAAUGCGUAGAGAUGUGGAGGAAUACCGAAGGCGAAGGCAGCCCCUUGGGAAUGUACUGA
rnacentral:rRNA from 1 species